UACACGCUGUGACUAGCAUAUCAAUAAGCGGAGGAAAAGAAACUAACAAGGAUUCCCCUAGUAACGACGAGUGAAGCGGGAAGAGCUCAAAUUUGAAAUCUUAAAGGGUUUCCCUUUACGAAUUGUAGUUUAAAGAAGUGUUUUCUGUUGAGGUUUUGGUAAAAGUUCUUUGGAAUAGGACAUCAUAGAGGGUGAGAAUCCCGUAUUUGACCUUUACUUUCAACUUUGUGAUACACUUUCAAAGAGUCGGAUUGUUUGGGAAUGCAGUCCAAAAUGGGUGGUAAAUUUCAUCUAAAGCUAAAUAUUGGCGAGAGACCGAUAGCGAACAAGUACCGUGAGGGAAAGAUGAAAAGAACUUUGAAAAGAGAGUUAAACAGUACGUGAAAUUGUCAAAAGGGAAGCGUUUGACACCAGUGUUGUUUUUCUGAAAAUCAAUUAAAGAACUGUUUAUGCUAAGUUGUUUAGACUUUAUCAGCUAUCUGUUUAGUUUUGAGCUUUUCUUUAAUGCACUUUUCAGUUAACAAGUCAACAUCAAUUUCUUUUGCUGUAAAAAAGCUUGAGGAAGGUGGCUUGAGAUUCGUCUUAAGUGUUUAUAGCCUCUUGCCUAUGCAGUCGGAGAGAUUGAGGUCUGCAGCGUAGAUCCUUCGGGGCUAAAUGCAUUUGUGCUAAGUUAUAGCAUUUUAUAGACAACUUGUUGACUAUGAUUUAGUCUUGUAGCUUACUCGCUUAUGUUAUUUUACCUACGCUUAGGAUGUUGAGUCGUAGAGCACGCAG
rnacentral:rRNA from 1 species